GCAAGUCGAACGGGAAACCUUUUAUUGAAGCUUCGGCAGAUUUAGUUGGUUUCUAGUGGCGGACGGGUGAGUAACGCGUGGGUAACCUGCCUUAUACAGGGGGAUAACAACCAGAAAUGGUUGCUAAUACCGCAUAAGCGCACAGGACCGCAUGGUCCGGUGUGAAAAACUCCGGUGGUAUAAGAUGGACCCGCGUUGGAUUAGCUAGUUGGCAGGGUAACGGCCUACCAAGGCGACGAUCCAUAGCCGGCCUGAGAGGGUGAACGGCCACAUUGGGACUGAGACACGGCCCAGACUCCUACGGGAGGCAGCAGUGGGGAAUAUUGCACAAUGGGGGAAACCCUGAUGCAGCGACGCCGCGUGAAGGAAGAAGUAUUUCGGUAUGUAAACUUCUAUCAGCAGGGAAGAUAGUGACGGUACCUGACUAAGAAGCCCCGGCUAACUACGUGCCAGCAGCCGCGGUAAUACGUAGGGGGCAAGCGUUAUCCGGAUUUACUGGGUGUAAAGGGAGCGUAGACGGACUGGCAAGUCUGAUGUGAAAGGCGGGGGCUCAACCCCUGGACUGCAUUGGAAACUGUUAGUCUUGAGUGCCGGAGAGGUAAGCGGAAUUCCUAGUGUAGCGGUGAAAUGCGUAGAUAUUAGGAGGAACACCAGUGGCGAAGGCGGCUUACUGGA
rnacentral:rRNA from 1 species